AUUGAACGCUGGCGGCAUGCCUUACACAUGCAAGUCGAACGGUAACAGAUCUUCGGAUGCUGACGAGUGGCGAACGGGUGAGUAAUACAUCGGAACGUGCCUAGUAGUGGGGGAUAACUACUCGAAAGAGUGGCUAAUACCGCAUGAGAUCUACGGAUGAAAGCAGGGGAUCGCAAGACCUUGUGCUACUAGAGCGGCCGAUGGCAGAUUAGGUAGUUGGUGGGAUAAAAGCUACCAAGCCGACGAUCUGUAGCUGGUCUGAGAGGACGAUCAGCCACACUGGGACUGAGACACGGCCCAGACUCCUACGGGGGGCAGCAGUGGGGAAUUUUGGACAAUGGGCGCAAGCCUGAUCCAGCAAUGCCGCGUGCAGGAUGAAGGCCUUCGGGUUGUAAACUGCUUUUGUACGGAACGAAAAGCCCUGGGUUAAUACCCUGGGGUCAUGACGGUACCGUAAGAAUAAGCACCGGCUAACUACGUGCCAGCCGCCGCCGUAACAC
rnacentral:rRNA from 1 species